UUUUUCUGGACUUACAUUGUAGCAAAUGUGGACUCUACUGAGGAACACACAGCCCUUCAAACUAUGCUGACAUUCCUGUGCAGUACUGACAGAAGUCCUUGAAUGCUGGAAGUGCUGUCUUUCAGCAGCAGCGGGAGCAGUGAGAGCGAGGACCAGGGGGCUGCCGGGAAGGUA